rnacentral:rRNA from 1 species
UACGAAGGGGACUAGCGUUGUUCGGAAUCACUGGGCGUAAAGCGCACGUAGGCGGAUAUGUCAGUCAGGGGUGAAAUCCCGGGGCUUAACCUCGGAACUGCCUUUGAUACAGCAUAUCUUGAGUCCGAUAGAGGUGGGUGGAAUUCCUAGUGUAGAGGUGAAAUUCGUAGAUAUUAGGAAGAACACCGGUGGCGAAGGCGGCCCACUGGAUCGGUACUGACGCUGAGAAGCGAAAGCAUGGGGAGCGAACAGG